CCGGUCUGAACUCAGAUCAUGUAAGAAUUUAAAGGUCGAACAGACCUAUUAACUAAGCGGCUACACCUAAUAAUAAUCUUAAUCCAACAUCGAGGUCGCAAGCCCUUCCGUAAAUUUGAACUCCAAAGAAGGAUUACGCUGUUAUCCCUAAGGUAACUUAUUCUAAUAAUCAUCAUUAAUGGAUCAUAAAUAAACAUACAUCAAUGACAUAUAAACAAUAAAAGUUAAUCAAAUUCAAAUGUCACCCCAACAAAAUAAUCAAUAAUAAUAAAACAGAAAAUAAUCAAACAAAAUUCAAAACAAUGAUUAUAAAGCUCUAUAGGGUCUUCUCGUCUACCAAUAAAAUUUUAGCCUUUUAACUAAAAGGUCAAAUUCAAAAAUUUAAAUAAGAGACAGUCAACACCUCGUCAAACCCUUCAUUCCAGCCCUCUAUUAAAAGACUAAUGAUUAUGCUACCUUUGCACGGUCAAAAUACCGCGGCCGUUAAAAUAAUACUCACCGGGCAGGUCAGACUUCUUAAAUAAUAACAAGAAGAC
rnacentral:rRNA from 1 species